AUUGAACGCUGGCGGCAGGCCUAACACAUGCAAGUCGAACGGUAACAGGGAUCAGCUUGCUGAUUCGCUGACGAGUGGCGGACGGGUGAGUAAUGUCUGGGAAACUGCCUGAUGGAGGGGGAUAACUACUGGAAACGGUAGCUAAUACCGCAUAACGUCGCAAGACCAAAGAGGGGGACCUUCGGGCCUCUUGCCAUCGGAUGUGCCCAGAUGGGGUUCGCUAGUAGGUGGGGUAACGGCUCACCUAGGCGACGAUGCGUAGCUGGUCUGAGAGGGGGACAGGACACACGGGAACGGAGACACGGUUCAGACUCAGAAGGGAGGCAGCAGUAGGGAAUCUUACGCAAUGGGCGAAAGCCUGAAGGAGCCACGACGAGGGAGUGAGGAAGGUCUUCGGAUAGGAAAACUCUGUUAUUAGGGAAGAACAAAUGGGGAAGUAACUAUGCACGUAUUAACGGGACCGAAUAAGAAAGCCAAGGCGAAGUACGUG
rnacentral:rRNA from 1 species